UUUCGGCGGAACGAAAAGGACGCGCCAGCCUUCCGGGUCACUGCUGUCGGGAGGGCCGCGCGGUGUCGGGCCCGACGGCGUCUCCCUACCCGCUCGCCCAGUCUGCGGGAGCCGGCCGCCCGCGCCUCUUGUGCGACGCUCCCCGGCCCGAGCGCCGGAGGCCGAGUCCCGCGGCCUUGCGGGGUCCGCGGCCGGCGGCGGAUGGGCGGCCGGGGCCUCAGGGCCGGCUGCUGGCGGGAUGGACACCCCAGAGGAGGAGAUCUGGGCCAGCGGGCCCCCGCCCCCGGCGCCCAACAUCAGUGUGCCGCACCGCUGCCUCCUGCUUCUCUACGAGGACAUCGGCACCUCUAGGGUCCGGUACUGGGACCUCUUGCUGCUCGUCCCCAACGUGCUCUUCUUCAUCUUCCUGCUCUGGAAGCUUCCGUUUGCUCGGGCCAAGAUUCGAGUCACCUCCAGCCCCAUUUUUAUCACCUUCUAUAUCCUGGUGUUCGUGGUGGCGCUGGUGGGCAUCGCCCGGGCCGUGGUGUCCAUGACGGUCAGCACCUCAGAUGCUGCGACUGUCGCUGAUAAGAUCCUGUGGGAGAUGACCCGCUUCUUCCUGCUGGCCAUCGAGCUGAGCGUGGUCAUCCUGGGCCUCGCCUUUGGUCACCUGGAGAGCAAGUCGAGCAUCAAGCGGGUGCUGGCCAUCACCACGGUGCUGGCCCUGGCCUACUCCGUCACCCAGGGCACGCUGGAGAUCCUGUACCCGGAUGCCCACCUCUCGGCUGAGGACUUCAACAUCUACGGGCACGGGGGUCGCCAGUUCUGGCUGGUCAGCUCCUGCUUCUUCUUCCUGGUCUACUCUCUGGUGGUCGUGCUCCCCAAGACCCCGCUGAAGGAGCGCAUCUCCCUGCCCUCACGGAGGAGCUUCUACGUGUACGCGGGCAUCCUGGCGCUGCUCAACCUGCUGCAGGGGCUGGGGAGCGCGCUGCUGUGCGCGGAUGUCAUCGAGGGGCUCUGCUGCGUGGAUGCCACCACCUUCCUCUACUUCAGCUUCUUCGCGCCCCUCAUCUACGUGGCCUUCCUGCGGGGCUUCUUCGGCUCGGAGCCCAAGAUCCUCUUCUCCUACAAAUGCCAAGUGGACGAGACCGAGGAGCCGGACGUGCACCUGCCCCAGCCCUAUGCGGUGGCCCGGCGGGAGGGCCUGGAGGCAGCGGUGGCCGCCAGCACGCAGUUCGACUCGGCCGGGGGGAUGGCCUACCUGGACGAUGUGGCUUCCAUGCCUUGCCACACGGGCAGCAUCAACAGCACAGACAGAUCCCUGAUUUGUAGCUGGAUACACAGCUGCCUGGAACAAAGACUACAUUUUCCAGCCUUCCUUGCAGGUCCUGGCCAGUGGGAUUCACAUCCCGAGGUCCUGUGUUCAGGACCCCACACUGACACAAUGCCCCCUUUACGGACGGAGCAGCAGAGGGACAGAGGUCACACGGCCACCAGAGGCGGAUGCCAUCGGACCCCAGGCCUCCAACCCUGCGCCUGCUGCCCAGACUCGCAGACGCACCUCCCUCAGGGGACGGGCUCCGAGCCUCGUCGCUGGGGCCAUCAGACCAAGGUGGUGACUCAGCUGAACCAUUCAGCAAAUCAAGACCCAAUCACCACCCACCGUGAAGAGUGUUUAAAGCUGGGCUGCAGUCAAGAUCUCGUUAGGCACUCAGGAGGCCCCGGGACACAGAAUCAGUUCCACUUGGCCGGGGUCGAAUCGGGAAGGUGGGCCCAAUUCCAGGGGAAGAUUGGAGAGCGGCCCUGAAGACACGGUCCUCCCUGGGGCCGGGCCUGCCCGGGAUGGGGGCCGAGGGCUGCCCCGAGUUGGUCUGCCUGGCAUGGGUGGUAGCACCCCCCUGGAGUCAUCCAACAGCCCCGUCCCUGGAUGGUGUAUUGAAAACAACUUUACAAAUUAAGCAUCACGGAUACAGCGAAAGCCCCCGUGUAGCCUCCCUCCUGACUCUGCCCCAACCCCCAGGUUGUUUCCAAACCGUGAAAGCGAGCCGUGUCCCGACGCACAUCCCACCUCUGACUGUCUGUUUCCCACGUGCCCUCGAGGGGCUCUUGGGCGGAUCCAGAGGACGGAGCUGCUGGGGUUACGGGCGUCCGCAUCUGCAGCUCCAGUCUUCUCCCGGUGGUUGAUGGUGGCGAUCAGGGCACAGGCCAGGUGCUCUCGCACUGGGUUCCUCACCCCUCAGGGCUUCUGAGACCCUUCGAGGGGUCCCUGAGGUCAAAGCCAUCUUCGUAGUAGUGUGAGAUGUUCCAGCCUUUCUCAUCCUCUCACGAGUGCACCAUAGAAUUUUCCAGACCAAUGUGUGGUAACGUCAUAGCUCUGACGGCCGAAGGCACGUGUGCUUUGGUUGUUAUUGAAAUCAAACUUUGAGUAUAUAAUUUCGAAUAUGUAAAUGUUGGUAGACAAAACUCCCAGCCACAAAAGCUCUUCGAGGCCCUCAAUAGUUUUGAGUGUAAAGAAGUCCUGAGACCAAACAGCUCAGGACAGUGGGACAGACCCACGGCCUAGACCCCAGGGCGGGGCCCGGCGGGGCUGUGGCAGCUGCUGUGGCUCCUCCCCACUUCCUGGGGCGCUGGUGGCACAGUGAUCGCACACGUGGCUGCCGGAGGUGCGCUGACCGGCCCUGCUUGUGGGCCCCCAGAGGACACUCGUGCUCCUGGAAUUCUCCGCACAUCUCAGAACAGCCGCAGCCUGACCCCUCGGCCGCUGGGGGUCGCUGAAGGCGCAUCACAGACCCGACCUCCCUGAUCCCGUCCCGCUGGGGGCACUGAGCGUCUGAGCAGGGAAUCCUUUUCGAGGCUUGGGGAGGGGCGGGGGGUGCAGAGGCAGUAAGUCAGGGAGCCUGGUGCAGGUCAGGCCCCAAGAGUGACCUUUACCCGCCGAGUCUCAGUUGCAGACGCACAGAAAAGGAACAAAGAACUUCUUUCCCUGGACCAUCUGAGAGCCGUGGGCGACACGAUGCCCAGCACCACGGACGCUUUUUUGUGUAUUUCCCUCAAACGGACACUCCUCCUGCGUGACCACUACGCCAGCACUCAUGUCAGGAAAGCACACGGAUACGACAGCACCGUCCAAGCCUCAGACCCCACACACGCUUUGCCGAUGGUCCCCGUCACGUCCUUUAUGGCAAAAGAAUCUAGUUCAGGACCACAGGCUGCCAGGUCGCUGCCGCUGUGAGGAACCUCUUCUCAACCAUUCAUCCAUUUGUCAUUUAGUUAUAUUUAUUUAUUAUUCGGAGGAAAACAGGGACCCUUUUGAAAGGGGGCACAGUUAUAAUUACACAGGGACCCUAGGUAUAAAGCAGGACUUUUCCCCAGGAAACUGGGAGGUGGGCUCACCUGUGACAUGCCCCUCCCCAACGCCAGCUGGCCCCCUGCUAAGGAGAGCACGCUGCCGCCACUCCAAAGGGGAUCCCUGCCCACCAGCUCCAGAAGCCAGGCCUUGAAGGGCCUCCUGACGCCGCCCACCAUGCACCUCAACAUCCAUCCUGUCACCAGGUCCUGUGCAUUCUACUUCCAGCUAUGGCGUCGUCCACGCUGCCACCCCACCCCUCCCAUCCCCUUUGCAGGCUGAAGCCAGAGGCUCUUUAAAAAUGCAGCUCCGAUUCUGUCCCUCCGUGCCCUCCCCCGGUCGCCGCCCCCGGGCUCCCAGAGGCCUCAGCAGGACCCCCAGAGGCCCCGCCCUCCUCACCUGCCUUACCUGGAGCCUACCUCCCUGUUUGGGCUCCAGCACCCUGGUCUGUGGGCCCCUGUGACUCCGAGCCUCCCAGCGCUAACCUGCCAGACACGGACGGAAGGAGAUCGCUCAUGGCUGCGAAUUUUUAUGGUUACUGAGUCAUAUUGUUUUACAGCCAUUGAGUUAAAUUCAUCAGGAAUUGUAUGGGGUAUUACUUUGGCUCCAGCUGUGAACUCUAAUUCAGCUUGGCGACUUCGCCUGGGAACUUCCCACCCGACACUAGAAUCAGCGCCCUGCACGCGCUCUUCUUGCUGCCCCUCCCGCCGGGGCUCACCCGCCAACAACAUCAACAACCCAAAGGCCUGGUCCGGGAAACAAAGUCUCAAUCAGGCGCUGUAUUUAGCCCUCUCAGGCAUGACACCUGAUAUAUUGCUGUAAAAGACCCAGCUCGGGCUUCCCUGGUGGCACAGUGGUUAAGAAUCCGCCUGCCAAUGCAG